AAGUCGUAACAAGGUUUCCGUAGGUGAACCUGCGGAAGGAUCAUUCAUAAUCAAGUGUUUUUAUGGCACUUUAAAAAUCCAUAUCCACCUUGUGUGCAAUGUCAUCUCACUGGAAGGUCACGGCUGUAAAAAUCCGGCGGCCAACCUUUGGGAUUUAUAUCUACUCAGAACUUUAGUGAUUUUGUCUGAAACAUAUUAUGAAUAACUUAAUUCAAAAUACAACUUUCAACAACGGAUCUCUUGGCUCUC
rnacentral:misc_RNA from 1 species